rnacentral:rRNA from 1 species
CAAAAACAUGUCCUUUAGAAUUUAAUUUAAGGUCUGACCUGCCCACUGAAUUAUUUGAAUGGCCGCAGUAUUCUAACUGUGCAAAGGUAGCAUAAUCAUUAGUCUUUUAAUUGAAGGCUUGUAUGAAUGGUUGGACGAAAUAUUAACUGUUUCAUAAAAAUUUAUUUAGAAUUUUAUUUUUUAGUUAAAAAGCUAAAAUUUAUUUAAAAGACGAGAAGACCCUAUAGAUCUUUAUAGUUUAUGUAUUAUAUUUAUUUAGAUUAUUUAAAAUAUGAUUAUAUGAAUUAUUUUGUUGGGGUGACAUUAAAAUUUAAUUAACUUUUAAUAUAUUUAUACAUUAAUUUAUGAUUAGUUGAUCCAUUAAUAAUGAUUAUAAAAUUAAGUUACCUUAGGGAUAACAGCGUAAUUUUUUUGAAGAGUUCAUAUCGAUAAAAAAGAUUGCGACCUCGAUGUUGGAUUAAGAUAUAAUUUUGGGUGCAGCAAUUCAAUUAUUAAGUCUGUUCGACUUUUAAUUUCUUACAUGAUCU